AACAGAAAUGGGAAAAGGCCUAACAAUGGCUAAGCUUUUAAUCAAUAAAACUGUGGUUUUUCCAAUGGACAGAUAAAAUCCUGCCUUAGAAAUUUCUCUGAAGCACUUAUUGGAUGACGUAUGCUGUAUCCCUUUUCUGAAGAGCACCUUAUACAAAUGGAGGCUGUGGACACCACUUCACCUAAACUGAAGAUGUUAUUUUCUCAAACUUCAGUUCCCCAGAAUUCAUCAUGGCAUGGUCUUGGAUCAGACUCUUAGCAUCAAUGUCCUGGCAGGAUCAUCGUCUUCAUUUACAACAGAUAAACCAUCGAACGAGUUUUGCCAACUGACUCAGAGCCCUCAGGUGGAGGGAGUUUGGCAACAUCAGAAUGGUGAGCAAAUCGGGAAGAGUCAGGCAGGAAUUCCAUAUUUGGAGACUGAAUGAAACAGAAUGAAUAUGAUGAGCCUAAAAUAAAUGGAUAUAAAAUAAACA
rnacentral:lncRNA from 12 species